rnacentral:rRNA from 1 species
GGCGGACGGGUGAGUAACGCGUAAAGAACUUGCCCUUUAGACUGGGAUAACAGAGGGAAACUUCUGAUAAUACUGGAUAAGUUAGUAUAUCGCAUGAUAUGCAAAUGAAAGCUACGGCACUAAAGGAGAGCUUUGCGUCCUAUUAGCUAGUUGGUAAGGUAAGGGCUUACCAAGGCGAUGAUAGGUAGCCGGCCUGAGAGGGUGGACGGCCACAAGGGGACUGAGAUACGGCCCUUACUCCUACGGGAGGCAGCAGAC